rnacentral:misc_RNA from 1 species
GAAAUGCGAUAAGUAGUGUGAAUUGCAGAAUUCAGUGAAUCAUCGAAUCUUUGAACGCACAUUGCGCCCAUUGGUAUUCCAUGGGGCAUGCCUGUUCGAGCGUCAUUUGUACCCUCAAGCUCUGCUUGGUGUUGGGUGUUUGUCCCCGUCUCCGCGCGUGGACUCGCCCCAAAGUGAUUGGCAGCCGGCGUACUGGUCCCGGAGCGCAGCACAUGUCGCGCAAACGAGUGCCUUGGUACGGCGGCGUCCAUAAGCCCCUCUCUCACGCUCUUGACCUCGGAUCAGGUAGGGAUACCCGCUGAACUUGAGC